UGGGCUUUAGAACCGCCGGGCUUUUCCCACUCCAAAUUUGGUCCCCUGAGUUACGGCGUGAGAAGCAGGGCGCGGGCCUGAGGGAGGUGUCUGGGGGUCCUCAGUCUGGGGAGGUUGGAAAGAAGAUAGAGGAAAGUGGGGAGAGGACGUACGUGUCAUGAAGGGCAAAUCCGGCAGCCCGAGGUCACUCCUGGUCUCUGCGGAGGGAGCAUGCCCACCUGCAGGAAGCCAGAAAAACCCGGAUGCCGUUAUCUAGGUGAGGAGCGCGGAGACCUUUAACAGAAACCUCCGGGCAGACUGAAGCGGUGGGUUACGUUCCCAUUCUCAGCGACGGAGGUUAGAUGGGGGACCCUGUCCGCCCCCCACCCUUCCUCUUCACCUAAGGACAAGACCUAGACUCCAGAGAGAACAUAGAUGCAUCUGGUGCCGAAAGCAUCUGGGAAAAUGAAAGUCAACAGGCUAUAUGCUUACAGAGAGCUUCCUAUACAAAACCAGAAUUUCAGAGGCAGAGCUGAAAGGCAGAAAGAAUGAGGAGCUCUCUGAGCCUGGGGUGUCUGUACUUGCUUGCAUAGCCACCCAGACCGACCGUGCAGCUCCCACGCGUUCACAAAGGCAGGAGACAGACGCAAGUCCUCUGUGCCCCUUUAACUGCAAGAGACACAUCCCAAGUACAAGUACUCUGAGUAGUUCCACUGAAGGUCCCUCUCACUCGGCUUGAGGUAUUUCACACAGUGGUAGGAACUAAAUGUGCAACCACAGAGAAAUUGGUGGGCACCUGUAAUCCAAGAAAGCUCCCUAAGACCUGAAGAGAAAUUUCAUCAUUCGGGAUCUGGCAUGUCUGAUAAAAUCUGACAUGCUGACCUGUGAGGAAGCAGAGAGACAGAUGAACUUGGAAGGUUCUCUGCUGGCCCAGGAGUCUUGGAUUCUGAGGUGCUGUAACUAUGAGAUUGCCUUGACUCUUCCAAAGAGUCCAAGACCUUUCUUUGUUUCUUUUCUUUCUUCCUUUUUUUUUUUUAAACAGAGCACUUUGGGUAGGACAGAAGAUUCCUGAAACACCUCUCCUCACUCCCAUGCAGUCCUGCUGUCUUCAGAAGGGGUCACUUGGGUUCAAUGGUCCAACAAUGCAAACCCCAAACCAUAAAGAGGAAGUUUUGCUUCUUAAAUACAAGCUCUGCCCACCCUUCCAGAUCUAAGAAGUACUUGGCUCUACCCAACUAUAAACUUGGAACUAAACAAGUACUCACCGUGGGGCUGAGGGAUGGUCUAACUCACACCACCACCAUUUUUUUAAAUUGUUUUUUCAAAUAAAAAAUAAUAGUCGUUGGGGGGCUUCCCUGGUGGCGCAGUGGUUGAGAAUCUGCCUGCCAAUGCAGGGGACACGGGUUCGAGCCCUGGUCUGGGAAGAUCCCACAUGCCGCGGAGCGGCUGGGCCCAUGAGCCACAAUUACUGAGCCUGCGCGUCUGGAGCCUGUGCUCCGCAACAAGAGAGGCCGCGAUAGUGAGAGGCCCGCGCACCGUGAUGAAGAGUGGCCCCCGCUUGCCACAACUAGAGAAAGCCCUCGCACAGAAACGAAGACCCAACACAG